rnacentral:misc_RNA from 1 species
CUGCCCUCGAGCUCGGUUCUCUCGAACCGACGCCCGGUGUUGGGGCGCUGCGGGCUCAGCCCCGCAGGCCCUGAAAUGAAGUGGCGGUCCCGCCGCGGCGCCCCCUGCGUAGUAAGUCUUUGCACCUCGCAUCGGGUCCCGGCGUAGGCCAGCCGUCGAACCUAUCUCUUGAUG